rnacentral:rRNA from 1 species
ACGAACGCUGGCGGCGUGCUUAACCCAUGCAAGUCGAACGGAAAGGCCCCUUUGGGGGUACUCGAGUGGCGACCGGGUGAGUAACACGUGAGUAACCUGCCCUUGACUUCGGGAUAACUUCAGGAAACUGGGGCUAAUACCGGAUAGGAAUCCUUGCUGCAUGGUGGGGGUUGGAAAGCUUCGGCGGUUUUGGAUGGACUCGCGGCUUAUCAGCUUGUUGGUGGGGUAGUGGCUUACCAAGGCUUUGACGGGUAGCCGGCCUGAGAGGGCGACCGGCCACAUAGGGACCGAGAUACGGCCCAGACUCCUACGGGAGGCAGCAGUGGGGAAUAUUGCACAAUGGGCGGAGGCCUGAUGCAGCAACGCCGCGUGCGGGAUGACGGCGUUCGGGUUGUAAACCGCUUUCAGCAGGGGCGAAGCUUGUGGUGACGGUACCUGCAGAAGAAGCACCGGCUAACUACGUG